AAAAAAAAGUUGGCCACGCCCACCCAGUCACAUCUCCCCCCCACCAAGCCACGCCCACAGAACCAGUAGUAAAAAAUUUUACAUUUCACCCCUUCUAUGCACUGCAGUAUUGUAGGCCACUUCAGCAAAUGGCAGGAGAUCUGCCCAGCUAAAUUGCUGAUAAUGAACUUAGCAUCUCAGCACUCAUGAAUUAAUCCUGCUCUCCGAUGCAAAAGCAUAUUUUUUGUUCAACAGCUGAAGACUCUUUGUCCUGUUUGCAACCUGUGAGAAAUGGAGGCUGAAGGUGGCAUUUUGUGGGGAGGAGGAGAAUGGCAGCCUGGACCUUCUCCUGCUGAGACACAGAUAUACACCCCAGCUUCCUUUCAGGGCCUCCCUUUCUUCUGAGGGAGGGGUGGAGACCAUCUAGACUGUCCCCAGGGAUGCUAGGUGGACCUGUCACUCUAGACCCCUCAACUCUCCUGGCUUUGAACCCACAGCAGCUUCAUCUACAUUAUUCUUCCUCCCACUCACUUCCCUUCCCUUCGCUUUGCUAUAAAAGAAUAAACUUCAGAUGUAAGAAAA